rnacentral:rRNA from 1 species
UAGUGGCGAACGGGUGAGUAACACGUGGGCAAUCUGCCCUUCACUCUGGGACAAGCCCUGGAAACGGGGUCUAAUACCGGAUAAUACCUGCCUGGGCAUCUGGGUGGGUUGAAAGCUCCGGCGGUGAAGGAUGAGCCCGCGGCCUAUCAGCUUGUUGGUGAGGUAGUGGCUCACCAAGGCGACGACGGGUAGCCGGCCUGAGAGGGCGACCGGCCACACUGGGACUGAGACACGGCCCAGACUCCUACGGGAGGCAGCAGUGGGGAAUAUUGCACAAUGGGCGGAAGCCUGAUGCAGCGACGCCGCGUGAGGGAUGACGGCCUUCGGGUUGUAAACCUCUUUCAGCAGGGAAGAAGCGCAAGUGACGGUACCUGCAGAAGAAGCGCCGGCUAACUACGUGCCAGCAGCCGCGGUAAUACGUAGGGCGCAAGCGUUGUCCGGAAUUAUUGGGCGUAAAGAGCUCGUAGGCGGCUUGUCGCGUCGGUUGUGAAAGCCCGGGGCUUAACCCCGGGU